rnacentral:rRNA from 1 species
GACGAACGCUGGCGGCGUGCUUAACACAUGCAAGUCGAACGGAAAGGCCUGCUUUCCCUUGUGGAUUGCGGGUACUCGAGUGGCGAACGGGUGAGUAACACGUGAGUGAUCUGCCCCCAACUUGGGUAUAAGCCUGGGAAACUGGGUCUAAUUCCCGAUAGGACUGCAGGGUGGUGCCUGUGGUGGCAAACGAUUUUCUAGUGGUUGGGGAUGAGCUCGCGGCCUAUCAGCUUGUUGGUGUGGUAAUGGCCUACCAAGGCGGCGACGGGUAGCCGGCCUGGGAGGGUGGACGGCCACAUUGGGACUGAGAUACGGCCCAGACUCCUACGGGAGGCAGCAGUGGGGAAUAUUGCACGAUGGGCGGAAGCCUGAUGCAGCGACGCCGCGUGGGGGAUGACGGCCUUCGGGUUGUAAACUCCUUUCGACCGCGAGGAAGCCACCUGGUUGGAAGGGUGGUGACGGUAGUGGUAGAAGAAGCACCGGCUAACUACGGG